rnacentral:rRNA from 1 species
AUUGAACGCUGGCGGCAGGCCUAACACAUGCAAGUCGAGCGGAUGAAGGGAGCUUGCUCCUGGAUUCAGCGGCGGACGGGUGAGUAAUGCCUAGGAAUCUGCCUGGUAGUGGGGGAUAACGUCCGGAAACGGGCGCUAAUACCGCAUACGUCCUGAGGGAGAAAGUGGGGGAUCUUCGGACCUCACGCUAUCAGAUGAGCCUAGGUCGGAUUAGCUAGUUGGUGGGGUAAAGGCCUACCAAGGCGACGAUCCGUAACUGGUCUGAGAGGUUGAUCAGUCACACUGGAAUUGAGACACGGUCCAGAUCCCUACGGGAGGCAGAAGUGGGGAAUAUUGGACAAUGGGCGAAAGCCUGAUCAAGCAAUGCCGCGUGUGUGAAGAAGGUCUUCGGAUUGUAAAGCACUUUAAGUUGGAAGAAGGGCAGUAAGUUAAUACCUUGCUGUUUUGACGUUACCAACAGAAUAAGCACCGGCUAACUUCGUG